UGCCAGCAGCCGCGGUAAUACGAAGGGAACUAGCGUUGUUCGGGUUUACUGGGCGUAAAGAGCAUGUAGGCGGAUUGGUUAGUUGGAUGUGAAAGCCCGGGGCUCAACCCCGGAAGUGCAUUGGAAACUGGCGAACUUGAGUACGGGAGAGGAAAGUGGAAUUCCGAGUGUAGGGGUGAAAUCCGUAGAUAUUCGGAGGAACACCAGUGGCGAAGGCGGCUUUCUGGACCGAUACUGACGCUGAGACGCGAAAGCGUGGGGAGCAAACAGGAUUAGAUA
rnacentral:rRNA from 1 species